UAAACUGUAGCUCAAAUGGAAGAGCAUCCGUCUCCAAAACGGAGGUUGCCAGUUCGAUUCUGGCCAGUUUAC
rnacentral:tRNA from 1 species